CCUACGGGAUGCACCAGUGGGGAAUAUUGCACAAUGGGCGCAAGCCUGAUGCAGCCAUGCCGCGUGUAUGAAGUAGGCCUUCGGGUUGUAAAGUACUUUCAGCGAGGAGGAAGGCAUUAAGGUUAAUAACCUUGGUGAUUGACGUUACUCGCAGAGGAAGCACCGGCUAACUCCGUGCCAGCAGCCGCGGUAAUACGGAGGGUGCAAGCGUUAAUCGGAAUUACUGGGCGUAAAGCGCACGCAGGCGGUCUGUCAAGUCGGAUGUGAAAUCCCCGGGCUCAACCUGGGAACUGCAUUCGAAACUGGCAGGCUAGAGUCUUGUAGAGGGGGGUAGAAUUCCAGGUGUAGCGGUGAAAUGUGUAGAGAUCUGGAGGAAUACCGGUGGCGAAGGCGGCCCCCUGGACAAAGACUGACGCUCAGGUGCGAAAGCGUGGGGAGCAAACAGGGUUAGAUAGCCGGGUAGUG
rnacentral:rRNA from 1 species